GGGGACUCUGACCAGCCUGAGCGACGUGGAUCCUGAGAGCGCUUCUGGGUAGGCAUUUGCCCCAGUGGGAUGCCUCACCAGAGCAGUGUGUGGAAGGCCCCCAUGGAGUCUCAACACGGUGGCUGAACACCGGGAAGGAACUGGUAUUUGGAGUCCGGACAUCUGAAACUUGGGUCAGUGAGAGAGCAUAUGCCCUGGUAGAUUCCUGAGAAAAGGAACAGGAGGAUGAGAGGUUCAAUGUUUUACACAUUGC
rnacentral:lncRNA from 10 species